UACAGAGGGUGCAAGCGUUACUCGGAAUUACUGGGCGUAAAGCGCGCGUAGGUGGUUCGUUAAGUUGGAUGUGAAAGCCCCGGGCUCAACCUGGGAACUGCAUUCAAAACUGACGAGCUAGAGUAUGGUAGAGGGUGGUGGAAUUUCCUGUGUAGCGGUGAAAUGCGUAGAUAUAGGAAGGAACACCAGUGGCGAAGGCGGCUCUCUGGGACGGUACUGACGCUGAGACGCGAAAGCGUGGGGAGCGAACAGG
rnacentral:rRNA from 1 species